CACGUAGGGCGCAAGCGUUGUCCGGAAUUAUUGGGCGUAAAGAGCUCGUAGGCGGUCUGUCGCGUCGGAUGUGAAAAUCCAGGGCUCAACCCUGGACCUGCAUUCGAUACGGGCAGACUAGAGUUCGGUAGGGGAGACUGGAAUUCCUGGUGUAGCGGUGAAAUGCGCAGAUAUCAGGAGGAACACCGAUGGCGAAGGCAGAUCUCUGGGCCGUAACUGACGCUGAGGAGCGAAAGCAUGGGGAGCGAACAGG
rnacentral:rRNA from 1 species